rnacentral:rRNA from 1 species
GACGAACGUUGGCGGCGUGCUUAAUACAUGCAAGUCAACUGAAGCAGUGGUAGCAAUAUCGCUUGGGAGGUUGCGGACGGGGGGGUAACACCUAGGUAAUCUGCCUUCAGGUCUGGCAUAACUCCGUGAAACCGGGGCUAAUAGCAGAUGAUGAGGCGGCUCGACAUCGUGACCGUUGUUAAAGCUAUGGCGCCUGAAGAUGAGGCUGCGUCUGAUUAGUUAGUUGGCGGGGUAACGGCCCACCAAGGCAACGAUCAGUAGCUGGUCUGAGAGGAGGAUCAGGAAGACGGGCACCGAGACACGGUCCAGACUCCGACGGGGGGCAGCAGGAAGGAAUAUAGUGGAAUGGGAGAAAUAAUGAGGCAGCAACGCCGCGAGAGGGACGAAGGGCGUGUGGUUGUAAACCGCGGUAGAGAGAGAAAAAAAUCCCAAUCUUGGGGACAUGAUGGUAUCUGAAAAGUAAGCCCCGGCUAACUACGUG